UCGCCUCUUGUUAAACCAUAAGAGGUCCCGCCUGCCCUGUGACAAUGUUCAACGGCCGCGGUAUUUUGACCGUGCAAAGGUAGCGUAAUCAUUUGUCUUUUAAAUGAAGACCCGUAUGAAAGGCACCACGAGAGUUUAACUGUCUCUAUUUUCUAAUCAAUGAAAUUGAUCUAUUCGUGCAGAAGCGAAUAUAAUAACAUUAGACGAGAAGACCCUAUGGAGCUUUAAACACUUAAGUUAAUUAUGUAACCAUUUAUUCCUCAGGGUAUAAACAAAAUAUAUAAUACUUCUAACUUAACUGUUUUUGGUUGGGGUGACCGAGGGGGAAAACAAAUCCCCCUCAUCGAUUGAGUACUCAGUACUUGAAAAUCAGAAUAACAAUUCUGAUUAAUAAAAUAUUUAUCGAAAAAUGACCCAGGAUUUCCUGAUCAAUGAACCAAGUUACCCUAGGGAUAACAGCGCAAUCCUUUCUCAGAGUUCCUAUCGAAGAAAGGGUUUACGACCUCGAUGUUGGAUCAGGACAUCCUAAUGGUGCAACCGCUAU
rnacentral:rRNA from 1 species